rnacentral:rRNA from 1 species
UUGGAACGAGUGGCGGACGGGUGAGUAACACGUGGGUAACCUGCCCUUAAGUGGGGGAUAACAUUUGGAAACAGAUGCUAAUACCGCAUAAAUCCAAGAACCGCAUGGUUCUUGGCUGAAAGAUGGCGUAAGCUAUCGCUUUUGGAUGGACCCGCGGCGUAUUAGCUAGUUGGUGAGGUAACGGCUCACCAAGGCAAUGAUACGUAGCCGAACUGAGAGGUUGAUCGGCCACAUUGGGACUGAGACACGGCCCAAACUCCUACGGGAGGCAGCAGUAGGGAAUCUUCCACAAUGGACGCAAGUCUGAUGGAGCAACGCCGCGUGAGUGAAGAAGGCUUUCGGGUCGUAAAACUCUGUUGUUGGAGAAGAAUGGUCGGCAGAGUAACUGUUGUCGGCGUGACGGUAUCCAACCAGAAAGCCACGGCUAACUACGUGCCAGCAGCCGCGGUAAUACGUAGGUGGCAAGCGUUAUCCGGAUUUAUUGGGCGUAAAGCGAGCGCAGGCGGUUUUUUAAGUCUGAUGUGAAAGCCCUCGGCUUAACCGAGGAAGUGCAUCGGAAACUGGGAAACUUGAGUGCAGAAGAGGACAGUGGAACUCCAUGUGUAGCGGUGAAAUGCGUAGAUAUAUGGAAGAACACCAGUGGCGAAGGCGGCUGUCUGGUCUGUAACUGACGCUGAGGCUCGAAAGCAUGGGUAGCGAACAGGAUUAGAUACCCUGGUAGUCCAUGCCGUAACGAUGAAUGCUAGGUGUUGGAGGGUUUCCGCCCUUCAGUGCCGCAGCUAACGCAUU